rnacentral:lncRNA from 8 species
UUAGGAUUUACUUGCAGUAGUGUUUUACUAACGUGUGUGUGUUUGUGUGGUAGUCUGCAGGAGGAGUGUGCCCAUCUGCAAGAGUGGUUGCAAGCUGCAGUGCUGAAGGUGGAGAAAGGAGAGGAGCUUAGCCGCUUGCAGGAGGAAAUAGUCGAGCACAGUAAGCACAUAGAGGCCCUCAGUGGACACAUAACCACCUUGCAUGGGAGCACCCUAAAGCAUUCCCCCCUACUAAAAGAGGGUGAAAAACUUCUAGAGCGCUGCUGCAGUCUCCACACCCAUCUGCUUUCUUCCAAGGAGAACCAGAGCUCUCUGUCCAGCCACACCCAGGCCUUCCAGACUCUGGCCCAGGACACCCACGCCUGGGUUAGAGUCUUGCAACAGCAGGCUGACUCUCUGGCCACUGGAGCCCCAUGCUACCACAGCCAGGCUGAGCAAAGACUACAAGCUGCAGAGGUAAGAACCUGUCUUUGGGCUUACUCCAAACUCCGCCUGCAGAUUAUUUGGUGGUGGUGCAGAUGUCCUCUAAUAGCGCACAAAAAAGGAAAUGACCUGAAAUGAAAGUCACAUAUUGUACCUUUAAACAUAACCUUUGUCUCUUGCUGCCUCUGUUGUGUCUGGCAGACUGUGUUGAGUGCCAAGGCAGAGGGAGAGUCUCGAAUGAAGGAGCUGAAGGAAGCAUGCCACAGGCUGGCCCACAGACCGGGCCUGGGAGAGCGUCUGAAACUGGAUGUCAUGCAGACUGUCAGUGACACAGAGGUGCAGUGGGGAGCCGUUCUGCAGUCUGCAGACCAACACCGCAGGUAGGUGAAUGAAUGAGACUCGAGACACUAAUCACUUUUCAUGAUUUUUUAUAUUUCUGUCAGAAAGGCAUGACCUCUGUGUAAUUGGUUGAUAGUAGGAGAAUAUUGAUUGAUUGUGAAUAGUUCAAGAUGUACUCCUCAGUCUCUGUUUCUACCAACAGUGUAAACUGUAAACUUAGAGUGGGUCUUGGCAAAUGUAAAUGCCAUUGAGUCAUUUAAAGUUGAAUUGUACAUGCAGUUUUGCUCUCUCUCUAUCUAUCUCUCUCGCUCUCUCUCUAUCGCUCUUUCUCUCUCACUCUCACUCUCUCUUACUCUCUUAAGCAAAAACACACUCCAGAUCCAUGCCACAAAUCGUCAUAUUGUAUUACACAACAGCACUGUAAAAUGACUACAAUAUAGGCUCAAUUAUGAUGCUGAAUGUGUUUAUUGUUCAAGAAUAGAAGAUAAGAUGGGGGGACGGGUGAGGAGGAUGCUAUGCGUCAGAGUCUUUGUCCUCAGAGGCGAUUGUCCUUUUGACUUUCUCUUCUUCUGUUUUGUCGGUCUCUGACUCUGCUGGGGGAUUCAGUGUUGCCCUCAUCAUCAUUCCACUUCUGUUCCUUGUGAAUGAGGGACCCUGUUGGCCCAGGGCGUGGCUAGAACAGCUAAUCUUAGCACUAUCCUCAAGAGUAGGACUUAGUCUGCCAGGGGUUGGAAGGAAAUUUGGCAAAUAAGAAGGUACAUCCUCACCUGAAUAUAGAAUCAUUAGAGUGGGGUUGUUAAGCCUUUGGCUCUUAGAACUCCGGCUACAGCAGUUCUCAUCCUCUUCACCAUAAUCGCUUUGGUGUCUUGACACAGUGCUACAAGGCUUAGGUGUACGAGAGUGGGAAAAAAUUGUGCUGGUGCGGCGGGCCACAGUGCUCCUUCUGAGAGUCAUUUCUAUCUCGUCAUUGAUCUCCUCCUGACGGCUUGAUUUUCUGGAACGCUUUCUACCUUGAGCAAUCGUAGGCUUGUGGUCAUAAGAGGUCUGGGUGGUUGACUUGACAAGCUUGCUGUGAAUUUGGACAUUUCCGAAAAAAACCUGCUUUGACUUAGUUGUGUUUGCAUGUUGAGGAUCUGGUGCCUGGUGCCUGGGUGAUCUUGCAUUCCCAGAGGUGCCAGCCAAUGGACUUGCUAGUUGGGAGCUCUGAGUUCUGCCAUUACAGCAGAAGCCCUCUUCCGUGUCCUUGUUAUCAGAGUCAUAAUCUGCAUCUUCAGCUUCUAACUCUAAAAUCUCGGGCAGGUUUCUACUUCCUCCAGAUGUGUCAGGUAGGUCUGCCGGGUUGACUGUAUAUAAACACCUGUCUCUAUCUUCAUUCUCAUGGUGCUCAAUAGCUCUUGGUCUAGUGUAUGGGUACGGGGUCAAUCUCUUCACCCUUUGCAUUGGCCCAUGACUCUGAAUGGAGAUAUGGGAAUCUUCUUCUGCCAGCUCAGGUUGUUCACUUGCCAUAAACUCUGGACUCCAUGUGGUGCCAAGAGAUUCUGCUUCAUCAAACUCUUCAUCAUGCGAAGGGCUGGAUGGCGUGAGUCUUAAAUCGUUAUAUGGUUUUACAUCACAGAAGAACAUAGGUGGUGGAGGAGAGGAAGAAAAGUCAAGAGAAGGGGGUAAGUAAAUCUCUUGCCUGUGAUCGUGGGACAACUCAGUCCCUUGGUGGGAUUUAGAAGAAACCUCAAUGUUUUGUUUGGGCCCAGAAAAUGUUUCAAACAUUUGCACAUCGUUUGUAGGAAGAUCAAUACCUUCCAUGGGCUCAUGAGACAGUUGGAUCAGUUGCAUGCACCCAGAAGACCACGUAGCCCUUUGUCUUGGUGGCAUAGGUACCUUAAACACUCCCUGAGUCGCCAGUGAUGGUUUGUUUUGUUGCUUGGAGUCGGUAGAGAUCGCAAAUCCUUGCCACGAGUCAGGGUUUAAUUCAACCCCUAGCCUCUGCUCAGUACACACCUCAUUCCUUUUCAUAGGUUCAGAAGGAAGCUUAAACUCUCCUUGUGUCUCUGUGGACAAUUCAGUCAGUUGUUGGGGCUGAGAUACUUCAGAUACUUUCAAUAUUUGCCAGGAGUUUGGUGACACCUCAGUCCCUUGAUUGUACUCAGAAAAUUGUUCAAUGUCUUGCCAUGGACCAAAGGAUGAUUCAGUUUCUGGCCAGGGCUCAGUAGGAGCCUUUGACACUGUGCCAGGUUCUGGGGAAGGCACAGUUAUUUGCUGGAGAUCAUUCUGCUGUGUUUCAGUAGAAGAUAUUCUAGGCUCAAGUGGUGGUUCAACAGCUGGUCUGUGCUCAGCAGAUAAGCCAAUCAUAGGUUCAGAUGACAUUUCAAUUAUUUGGUGGGUUUUUAAAAAAAACUCAAUCUGUUGUUUGGGCUCAGUUGACACUUCCAACUCUUGACCAGAAUUUGGAUAUGGAUCAUUCCAAAGCAUGGAUUCAUGAGGCAGCUCAAUGUCUUGAAGGCACUGCUCAACUGUUUGUUUUGGUGGCAGAGGCAACUGGAGCACUUCCUGAGGCUCUUUGCUUUGCUCAGUCCAUUGCAGGGGCUCCUCAAACACUUGACAGGAGUCUGAAUUAAACUCUACCUCUUGUUUGUGAUCAGGAGACUGCUCAAUCAUUUGCGAUGGUUCACAAGCUGACACAAUCUCUUGCCAGAGGUUAGAUGGCCCUUUUAGUGUCUCAUGCUCCCUGGACAGUUCAAUUUGUGGUUCUGGCUCAGGGGAAGCGUCAGAUGUUUGCCCAGAGUUUGGAGACAACUCAAUAUUUUUCUUAAACUCUGGAACUUUCUCGAUCUCUUGCCAUUUUUCAGCAGAUGAUUUAAUUUUGCCCCCACGUUCUGGAGAUGUCUCAAUCCUUUCUCCUAAAGGAGAACAGCAAUAGUUGUUGCACUGCUCACACUCAACGAAAACUGGAAAUGGAGAGAGACGGAGUUCCGAGAACUGCUCCCCCUCAUCACUUUCUACGAUAAAUAAAGCAGGAGAGUCUGGGGGAGAGUCGGCUUGAGGGGAUCCUGCUGAGGGAGAUGGGCUAAGCUCCUCAAGGCAGUCCAUGUACACUGAAGCAGGUGAUAAACUGUCCUCUUCUUCAUGGCCAUCAAAGGCCUCUGCAAGGGAGGAUACAUUGUUGUCAUACUCUGGAGAUGGAGGAGGAGAAGGACUGUCUUCCCUCCUUGUGUGCUCCAAAUACCAUGCAUCGUUAGUGAGCUGGUUUUCGUGGUAAGUCAGCCCAGUAGCUCCGGCCGCAAGCCCUGGAAGUGUUCUCAUCACAGGGGCAUCAUUCGUUGGCUGCCCCUGUGGUGUUAGGUCAAUUGAUGCACUGCACCCUGGCUUGCUCGAUAAAGGCCCAGUAGAAAGAUUGCAGCAGGGACCAUGUUUUCUAGUACACUGAUCACAGAAUGGAGCUGAACCAAGGUUCUGUGAUGUAACUUUUUGAAGCCAUGUUAGGUCAGACCUGCAUCCUGCAAACAUAAAACAGAAUGAACUAUAGUUAGGAUAUGUUUAUUUUGCCCAAGCUAGUUUUUGCUUACAAAAAUGCACAAUGUUGUGAAUACAUGCAAUAUUUUACAAAGAAACUAGUAUGUUCAUACUAGGACAGUGAACCUGAUGUAAAAUGAUACUGGUUUAUAGUGAAAGAUUUGAAAAGCUUUGACAAUAUGGCGUCAAAUGUGGACAAAAUGCUUUUGAAAGACAAAAUUAUAUUAUCAACUGAUGGAUUAGAUUGCAUGUAGCAGAAGAAAGCUACUGAUAUGUUACAACCUUUACUUAUUUUUCACAUUAUACUUUUUAAAAUUAGGCAUAGAUUUAAUGCUGGCAUAGUAACAGUCUCCUCUCACUGUUUAUGACAUCUUUCCAUGAAAACUACAAAUGUGGAGAGCAUAACUAAAGGCCUAGAAAAACUGUAUCUACAAUUACAAAUUGUGUUUAAUACGUGAAUGUUACAAAGCAAAGCAAAAAAAUGUAACUGCAAAGCAAAAAACAACAAGACCUAUACAAAGAGAUCAUCCAUCAACACUUUUAUAAAAUAAAGACCAUACUCUUCUUGCUUUUAGUUUUAACACAAUAGUUUAUGUGAAUCACAGAAUGGUUUGGGGUACUACUACUACUACUUGAACUACUACUACUAUUACUACAUUGUAAAAGCAUACUACUGCUACUACUACUACUACUACACUGUAAAAGCCUACUACUGCUACUACUACUACUACUACACUGUAAAAGUCUGCUACUGCUACUACUACUACUACACUGUAAAAGCCUACUACUACUACUACUACUAGUACUGCUACUGCUACUACUACUAGGCCAACACUACUGCUACUAUUACUACUACUAAUACUACUAACUAACUACUACACUACUACUGCUGCUGCUACUACUACUACUACUACUACUAACUAUUACUAGCCUAUUACUGCUAGGCCACCACUAAUACCUGGCAGACUCCACCUCGCAGGUAGUCACUUCCACUUUUCUAGAUUCAAAUCCAGUCAUAGUUUAAUUUACAGUUAACAAAAUACUACUCAAUUGAAAAUAGGAAAAUAACCUUACCUGGGCAAUCCACUUUAUGCAAAUGAAUGACAGGAAUCAUUCUUAUGAAGAAUUCUCAGCAGUUGAAUACAUCCAUUUUGUUUUCGUUUUACUUUUCUUUUCUUUUAAGUCUUACCAAGC